rnacentral:misc_RNA from 1 species
GAUGAAGAACGCAGCGAAAUGCGAUAAGUAAUGUGAAUUGCAGAAUUCAGUGAAUCAUCGAAUCUUUGAACGCACAUUGCGCCCGCCAGUAUUCUGGCGGGCAUGCCUGUUCGAGCGUCAUUACAACCCUCAGCCCCCCGGGCCUGGCGUUGGGGAUCGGCGGAGCCCCCCGUGGGCACACGCCGUCCCCCAAAUGCAGUGGCGGUCCCGCCGCAGCUUCCAUCGCGUAGUAGCUAACACCUCGCGACUGGAGAGCGGCGCGGCCACGCCGUAAAACACCCAACUCUUCUGAAGUUGACCUCGAAUCAGGUAGGAAUACCCGCUGAACUUAAGCAUAUCAAUAAGCGGAGGA